GAUCGCUACCCCAGUCACCGUAAUCCCCUCCCCUGGACGAGCCUCUCUUCCCAGGCAGUCCGGCAAGAGGAAACUGACAUCCCGCAUCCCGCCUGGCACUGAAACCUGGCUUCUCCGCCCCUACUCCUACCUGCCGCUCAUCCUGGGCUCCUUCCUAGACUUCAGUGCUUCACACGCACUUGCCUAGCGCCCGAACUCCUGUGCAUCCACACCACUGCCCCGUGAGAGCGAGCUAGUCCACAGCAUCUGCACACCCCAGCAGGUGCAGCCCCGCACCACUAGCGCCCCCCUGGCCCCAAAGUUGGAGGACGCCAGCAAAAUGGAAAGGGAUGGCUGGAGGGGAGGUGGCGAUGGGUUCUCAAGUGGAAUGAGAAAACUCUAAAUGCCACGAACCUGAACCCAAUUGACCCGUGUCCAGCUGCAGCGAGUAGCCAGUGUUUGUUUAUUUAUUCUUUGGGGUGUCCCCGCCUCCUCUUUCUCUUUCCGGCCUCACUUUCUCUGUGCUAGGUAAAAAACGAUGCCAUAAUCUGCUACAGCUCGGAGGACAGAGUUGGCCAGGACGAUUUCCGAGCAGACCUCCCCGCCCCGGCUCGAUGCCCGACUUGGCAAGAUUCAGACUCACUCAGACCUAAGCCCUGAGCGGCGAUCCGGGAUGCACCCACCCAUUGAUAAAACGCUUGUGCGAGCUCACGCACCUCUCUCCUCCUGCUAUGACAGCGAGACAAAGCAAAGUCCACCCCAGGCCACUGCAUUGAAGUCUGAUCAGACCCAGCUUUAGAUGGUUCGAUCCAAGGGCUACUUAAGUUCUUUCUCUAGCGAUAGUCAGAAGUCUACAGAGUGGAACUACUGUGGGAGAUGGAAUUGAGUCUUCCAAUCAGUGUCUCUGCGUACAGAAGCAGAUUUCCAUAUUUUCACACCAAGGCAAAAAUCUCCAGGAAGUGGGUGUUAAUGAGAAGACUUAGCUGAAGACUCCCAUUGAUGCUGAAAACAUAACCCCCCCCCCCUUGGUCUAUUUCAUAAGUGAGUGGGGAUAAUUUUCUCCGUCAAUUCAGUGCUUUUCUUUGGGGACCACUUUGGGUGGUUGAAGAAUAGUUAAGUUUCAUUUAAGACACUAGCUAAGUCUAUUCCAAAUAUUUUUUUUGUUGGGAAAACACUUGGUUAUUCUACUUAAUCCUAGGGAGUUGGUUAAAAUCUACUUUUAACAGAAAAGGAAAGACUGGUCUAAAGUUCUCUAAAUGUGGAAUAAAGGACUCUUUCGAAAAUAGUUAUGGCUUCA
rnacentral:lncRNA from 1 species